rnacentral:rRNA from 1 species
UACGAAGGGGGCUAGCGUUGCUCGGAAUCACUGGGCGUAAAGCGCACGUAGGCGGAUUGCUAAGUCAGGGGUGAAAUCCUGGAGCUCAACUCCAGAACUGCCUUUGAUACUGGCGACCUUGAGUCCGGGAGAGGUGAGUGGAACUGCGAGUGUAGAGGUGAAAUUCGUAGAUAUUCGCAAGAACACCAGUGGCGAAGGCGGCUCACUGGCCCGGUACUGACGCUGAGACACGAAAGCGUGGGGAGCAAACAGG